rnacentral:rRNA from 1 species
AAACCAUGCACCGAAGCUGCGGCAGCGACACUGUGUGUUGUUGGGUAGGGGAGCGUUCUGUAAGCCUGUGAAGGUGGCCUGUGAGGGUUGCUGGAGGUAUCAGAAGUGCGAAUGCUGACAUAAGUAACGAUAAAGCGGGUGAAAAGCCCGCUCGCCGGAAGACCAAGGGUUCCUGUCCAACGUUAAUCGGGGCAGGGUGAGUCGACCCCUAAGGCGAGGCCGAAAGGCGUAGUCGAUGGGAAACGGGUUAAUAUUCCCGUACUUGGUGUUACUGCGAAGGGGGGACGGAGAAGGCUAUGUUGGCCGGGCGACGGUUGUCCCGGUUUAAGCGUGUAGGUGUGUGUUCCAGGUAAAUCCGGUUCACUUUAACACUGAGGCGUGACGACGAGGCACUACGGUGCUGAAGCAACAAAUGCCCUGCUUCCAGGAAAAGCCUCUAAGCAUCAGGUAACAUCAAAUCGUACCCCAAACCGACACAGGUGGUCAGGUAGAGAAUACCAAGGCGCUUGAGAGAACUCGGGUGAAGGAACUAGGCAAAAUGGUGCCGUAACUUCGGGAGAAGGCACGCUGACACGUAGGUGAAGUGAUUUACUCACGGAGCUGAAGUCAGUCGAAGAUACCAGCUGGCUGCAACUGUUUAUUAAAAACACAGCACUGUGCAAACACGAAAGUGGACGUAUACGGUGUGACGCCUGCCCGGUGCCGGAAGGUUAAUUGAUGGGGUCAGCGCAAGCGAAGCUCCUGAUCGAAGCCCCGGUAAACGGCGGCCGUAACUAUAACGGUCCUAAGGUAGCGAAAUUCCUUGUCGGGUAAGUUCCGACCUGCACGAAUGGCGUAAUGAUGGCCAGGCUGUCUCCACCCGAGACUCAGUGAAAUUGAACUCGCUGUGAAGAUGCAGUGUACCCGCGGCAAGACGGAAAGACCCCGUGAACCUUUACUAUAGCUUGACACUGAACAUUGAGCCUUGAUGUGUAGGAUAGGUGGGAGGCUUUGAAGCGUGGACGCCAGUCUGCGUGGAGCCGACCUUGAAAUACCACCCUUUAAUGUUUGAUGUUCUAACGUGGACCCGUGAUCCGGGUUGCGGACAGUGUCUGGUGGGUAGUUUGACUGGGGCGGUCUCCUCCUAAAGAGUAACGGAGGAGCACGAAGGUUGGCUAAUCCUGGUCGGACAUCAGGAGGUUAGUGCAAUGGCAUAAGCCAGCUUGACUGCGAGCGUGACGGCGCGAGCAGGUGCGAAAGCAGGUCAUAGUGAUCCGGUGGUUCUGAAUGGAAGGGCCAUCGCUCAACGGAUAAAAGGUACUCCGGGGAUAACAGGCUGAUACCGCCCAAGAGUUCAUAUCGACGGCGGUGUUUGGCACCUCGAUGUCGGCUCAUCACAUCCUGGGGCUGAAGUAGGUCCCAAGGGUAUGGCUGUUCGCCAUUUAAAGUGGUACGCGAGCUGGGUUUAGAACGUCGUGAGACAGUUCGGUCCCUAUCUGCCGUGGGCGCUGGAGAACUGAGGGGGGCUGCUCCUAGUACGAGAGGACCGGAGUGGACGCAUCACUGGUGUUCGGGUUGUCAUGCCAAUGGCACUGCCCGGUAGCUAAAUGCGGAAGAGAUAAGUGCUGAAAGCAUCUAAGCACGAAACUUGCCCCGAG